GGCCAGUGUGGUGUAGUGGUUUGAGCAUUGUACUAUGACUCUGUAGACCAAGAUUCAAAUCCUGGCUUGGCCA